ACUUACCCCAGUAAACGUCAGUUGCUCCUCUGAAAAAUUUCGGAAUGUAAUUUUCUAGGACUGUCAGUGUGCUGUUUAUGUCUUCCAAAACUCCAACAACAGCGUAGUGCUUUUCUACGGCAAGUUUGGCACGUUCCAAAGCUCCUGCGGUGUUGAAGGGCCUGAGAGGAAAAAAGUUAUGUAAGUUAUGCAAGUGUUUUGAUUCCAGGGUUUUCAAGGUCCGAUACAAAGGAUUCUCCCAGUUGAAAAUCUCAAAUCUUGAGAAUCAUGAUUUUUAUUUCAUCGUUCUUAAGGAGAAAUGGAAAAGGAUCUAAGGAAAUCUACGAUAGUUCAUAUCGACACUCCCUGUCACCCCUGAGUACGCAUGAUUCGAAGUCUUUUUUCAACCAAUUUGGAUCGGGCAGGGGAAGAUCCGGGAAUAUCUGUUUGCGUUCAACGUAGUACCAAGGAGCCCUCACGUAGUAGUACCAGGAUAUUACACGCUCCACAGGAUCUCGAACAAGGUUCACGUAAAUCGGUUCCGGCAAAUUGAACCUGAGGGGUAAAAAUAAAACGAAUAAAUUCCGCUUCAA